CAUGAAGCCACUCCUCUUUUCUACAUCACGUUUGCUUCCUACUUAAUGUGACUCGGUUUAAAGAGAAAACACAAACAGAAGAGGCGCUGUCAUAACUUACUACCAAGUUUGAUCCAUGACUUCAGAAUAACGGUCUCUACAUGAUGAUUAGAUUUCUCUUUUGCUAUCUCCUCACAGCAGGUUUUUCUCUGGGGGUUCAGGUCCAUCAGUCUCCCUCUGCUGCGAUCAGAAAGGCCGGUGAUGAUGUGCAGCUCGUCUGCACUCACGGACAAACUGACUACACAGUGAUGCUGUGGUACCAGCAGUCACCUGGAGACAAGGCUCUGAAACUCAUCGGAUAUGUAGAAUAUAGUAGCAUAAGCUAUGAAGAAUCGUAUAAAGGGCAUUUCAAUAUCACUGGAGAUCUAAGUGGAAACACAGCAAAGAACGUCUCUCUGUUCAUAGUGGACCUAAAAGAGUCGGAGUACAGUGCAACAUACUACUGUGCAGCUCGAUAUACACGUUGAGGAGGAUCUCCUUUCAACUAGACAAAAACUUAACACCACACUUUAUCAACUGUGGUUUUGUCGUCAACAUCCAGCUGCAGUCAAGGUCUCUGUCAUGUGAUUUCUACCUCACUUCCUCGCAUCUCCGCUCGGGUUUUCACAUAUUAAGUGCAGUCAUAUAGCCAGAGUAGACGUCUGAUGAUCUUCCCCAUCAGAGAACUAAAUCUGCAUGGGACAAACAACUAAAAUGAUCUGUUUUCUACUUUGUUGUCAUCUCAUAGGUUUUUCUCUGGGGGUUCAGAUCCAUCAGUCUCCCUCCGCUGCAAUCAGAAAGGCCGGUGAUGAUGUGAAGUUUUUCUGCACACACGGACAAAGUGCCUACAGAGUGAUGCUGUGGUACCAGCAGUCACCUGGAGACACGGCUCUGAAACUCGUCGGAUAUGGAUACGUACAGUUCACAAACGACAGCGUGGAAAAGCCAUUUAGAGAACAUUUCAAAUUAGCCGGAGAUUUGAAAAGCGAUGCAAAAAAUGGUUCCCUUUCCAUAAAUAAUCUUAAUGCACACAAACACACGGCAACCUACUUUUGUGCAGCAAGAGAAGCACAGUACAUCAAACAUCCAUCUGCUCUUGACAAAAACCUUGUCACGCCUCCACUCUGAAUGUAGGUUA